UGUGGACAGUCUUGGAAAGGAAUCACUUGCUCGGGCUCCCGGGUCACUGAAAUUAAAUUACCGGGUCUUGGCCUCUCUGGGUCGUCAAUUGGUUACAAGCUUCAAAGCCUGACAUGAGUGACAAAUCUAGAUCUCAGCAAUAACAAUCUUGGAGGACAGCUACCUUAUGGAGUUCCUCCAAAUGUACAAAGAUUAUUGAGAAAGGUGACACUGGAGCAGAUAUCAUGGCACUUUUUCUUAUUGUGCUGAUAGAUGUCGAGAUGUAACU